UACGAAGGGGGCGAGCGUUGUUCGGAAUCACUGGGCGUAAAGGGCGCGUAGGCGGCCCUCCUUGUCGCGUGUGAAAGCCCCGGGCUCAACCUGGGAACGGCGCGCGAGACGGGGGGGCUGGAGUUCGGGAGAGGAGCGUGGAAUUCCCAGUGUAGAGGUGAAAUUCGUAGAUAUUGGGAAGAACACCGGUGGCGAAGGCGGCGCUCUGGACCGAGACUGACGCUGAGGCGCGAAGCGUGGGGAG
rnacentral:rRNA from 1 species